CUCAUCCGUGAGUCGGCCUCAACGGCCUUUGAUCACCUCUGCGUCUAAUUAAAGCAGUGCACGACAAAAGGAAAAGUAAUUAAUCGCGAAUGUGUUCUUUUAACAAAUGAAUGAGCUUUGAGCUGGUUUACUGUACCAGAUGUUUAUAAUAAUUAUGUAUAUAUACGCAAGCAUUUUAUUGAAGUGAAAUUCCUCAACUUAAGUCCAAAAGGGAGUUAACUUUCAAUAGUUUUAGACCCAAUUCUCAACGGUGAAAAUAUGUAAUUUUGACAAGCAAUUUUUAUCGGACUCGUACUUGCUCAUUUUCUCUCAAUAUUGG